rnacentral:rRNA from 1 species
GCGCAGCAGGCGCGAAAAUUUUGCAAUGCGCGCAAGCGUGACAAAGUCAUCCCGAGUGCCACCCGCUGAGGGUGGCUUUUCCACAGUCUAAAAAGCUGUGGGAAUAAGGGGAGGGUAAGUCGGGUGUCAGCCGCCGCGGUAAUACCCGCUCCCCGAGUGGUGGGGGCUUUUACUGAGCUUAAAGCGCCCGUAGCCGGUCAUGCGUGUCUCCAGUUAAAUCCAGCAGCCUAACUGCUGGGCCGCUGGAGAUACUGUAUGACUUGGAGGCGGGAGAGGCUACCGGUAGUCCCGGGGUAGGGGCGAAAUCCUAUAAUCCCGAGAGGACCACCAGUGGCGAAGGCGGCCGACUAAAGCGCGCCCGACGGUGAGGGACGAAAGCUGGGGGAGCGAACGGGAUUAGAUACCCCGGUAGUCC